GGGCGCUUAGCACAGUGGUAGGGCGCACGCUUUGCAUCUUCAGAUGAUCUGCGUGAGGUCGAGGGUUCAAACCCCUCAGCGUCCA